AUGGAGUCAAAGUUCUUCCGGUUUCUAAAACUCGUUGGAGUUGGCUUCAAAGCAAGGACAGAGGGCGAAGGCCGUGAGCUGUUCCUGAAGCUGGGCUACAGCCAUGAGGUGCAGUUCACCGCCCCACCCGCUGUCCGCGUCUUCUGCUUCAAGCCCAACAUCGUGUGCUGCACCGGCUUAGACAAGAACAGAGUGCACCACUUCGCCGGCGCCGUCCGGAACUGCAAGCCGCCGGAGGUGUACAAGGGCAAGGGCAUACUGUACAUCAAUGAAGUGAUGCAUAGGCGUGGGAUGAAGCGCAAGUGA
rnacentral:rRNA from 1 species